GGACAAACCUCUGGAGAGACUCUAUGUGAGCACCGAAGGGGAAAACCGAAAGGUGAAACUCUCAGGUAAAAGGACAGAGGCAGAUUA
rnacentral:ncRNA from 2 species